CCAACAUUUCUGUGGCCGCGCCGCUCUCGCUAUGGAACCGGCAGGAUUCAAGCGCGUCUCCCCUGGAGUUCUUAGUCGAGCCUGCCACUUAUCAGCCAAUCAAAAAAAAGAAAUAGGCUACACAACAGCCAAUCAGAAAAUAGCACUAUUGUAUCUGGGUAAGAUUUAACGCAACAACCAGUGAAAAAAAGCAUCCUGAAAUUGUUCACCAUCUUCCUCGUUCACCCACAGAGGAAACCACUGGAGCCCCGAGCAUCACUUCGAGCACAAAUGUAAUACGCUCAGAUUGCAUGUUUCAGCAUCAUUCAAAACAUCGAAAAAUCCAUGGUUUGUAAACAAUGAGACCAGGCUGGGAAUUCAGUAUUAAAGCGAAACCUGCUGCAGUCAUACCUGAUGACACUGAAAGAGGAGAGUCAAGAACUGAAUGAAACAGAAGAGAAAGAUCAGAAUGAGAAAUAUCACGAUUUCAAAAUCGAAGAAAAAAUGAUUAGUUGCUCACGAACUGAAGAGAAUUCCUCACCAAAAAACCCUCAAAAAAUACAAGCUACAAACCUGAAUCCCCACUUGGUAAUUCAUGGAGAGAGCUCUUUCACCUGCCAAGUGUGUGGAGAAAUUUUCAAUCGAAAAGAAAGCCUUAGAAUCCACAUGAAAACUCACUUUGAGAAGAAACCAUUCAUAUGCACUCAAUAUGGAAAGUGUUUUACACAGAAAAAAACCCUUAAUGUCCACAUGAAAACUCACUCUGGAAAGAGACCGAAUGA